rnacentral:rRNA from 1 species
UAAUCGCGGAUCAGCAUGCCGCGGUGAAUACGUUCCCGGGCCUUGUACACACCGCCCGUCACACCAUGAGAGCCGGUAACACCCGAAGUCAGGAGCCUAACCGCAAGGAGGGCGCUGCCGAAGGUGGGAUUGGUAAUUGGGGUGAAGUCGUAACAAGGUAGC